UUCGAUUAAGUAUAUUAAGUGUAUUAACUAUAUCUUACAUGUAUUUUCAUCAUACUAGGAUUAUACAGAUGAUAAAUCGCCGACGCCCACGCUGCCAGGCUAUGACCCUUAAAGGGCUACAGUGCUCAAGAGAUUCAACAAGGCAGUUUGUUCUGCAUUAUUGCACACAGCAUUAAUGUGAGGAACCUAUUGAAGCAUAGCUGAGGAAUGGAAAGAGUCCCUCAGGAAUAGCAGGAGGGCUAGGAGAGAAAGUACAUCGUUAUCGAAGAUGUCUAUUCAUCUACCUGGACAUCUACCUUGCAGAUAACCUCCUCCUCCUUACUGAGCAGUUCAUCUCACAACAUUCAAGAGAAGCCCGCCAGCCAAACAGACUCAUCAUCCCCAUUCAGCUCAUCUCACAAGCAAACGACAUUCAAGAGAAGCCCGCCAGCCAAAUG